ACUCAAAUGAAUUGACGGGGGCCCGCACAAGCGGUGGAACAUGUGGUUUAAUUCGACAUUACGCGAGGAACCUUACCUGGGCUUGACAUGUAUAUGACCGCACUAGAGAUAGUGCUUUUUGGGCUUCGGUCCAGACAUUUACACAGGUGCUGCAUGGCUGUCGUCAGCUCGUGUCGUGAGAUGUUGGGUUAAGUCCUUUAACGAGCGCAACCCUUGCCAUCAGUUGCUAUCUACGUAAGUAGAGCACUCUGAUGGGACUGCCUGGGAAACCAGGAGGAAGGUGGGGACGACGUCAAGUCAUCAUGGCCCUUAUGUCCAGGGCUACACACGUGUUACAAUGGCCAGUACAAAGGGUUGCUAGUCUGCAAAGACAUGCUAAUCUCAAAAAGCUGGUCUAAGUUCGGAUUGAGGUCUGCAACUCGACCUCAUGAAGCUGAAAUCGCUAGUAAUCGCAUAUCAGAACGAUGCGGUGAAUACGUUCUCGGGCCUUGUACACACCGCCCGU
rnacentral:rRNA from 1 species